UAGUAGUUGUGACUUAUUCACACUAUAUACAUUUGGCUUCCGCAACAAAUAUGUCAUUGUAUUUUUAGGAGCUUGAAGAAGAAACACAUAGACCCCCGGAUCUCUCAAAGAGAUUGUUCGAGUGCUUUCAAAUUUUAAGUCAUUGAGGCAAGAAGGUGUGACACGUAAGGAUUACGUUGAUCAACUUAAAAGGGACUUGGGUUCAUAUUAUGGAUACAAUGAUUUUCUGAUUGAAGAUUAGUGGAGCUGCCUAAAGUCUUCGGUCAGAACACUGCUGAUAGGAUUUGCUGGAUGCUCCCUGCAGUGGCACUGGGGUAAUCUCCAAGGACGAGUCUGUUAAAACUUCCAAAACCGCUGCUGAUAUACAAAACUGCUCACAACUGCAGAAGGGGCACGGAUUUUGCAAUUCUAGUUGCCUUUAUUUUUGCGUGUGUUGUUAUCUGCACCCUCCGAAAGCAGGAGGGUGUUGGUGAUGGUAUUAGAAGGAACUGAUACUUGCAGCGAUUGACAUGGUUGAUGACAACUCAAAAUCAGGUGGAUACAUAGUGUAUUCUACCUGCUCCAUUAUGGUUGAUGAGAAUGAAGCAGUUAUAGACUAUGCACUCAAGAAGAGAGAUGUUAAACUUGUGCCAUGUGGUCUUGAUUUUGGGAGGCCUGGAUUUAUUCGCUUUAGGCGGUACCGCUUCCACACAUCCUUGGACAAGACAAGGCGAUUCUAUCCUCAUGUGCACAACUUGGACAAGACAAGCUUAAUAUUUCAUUAAGCUUGUGGAAAUUGAAAUGAUUAUGGAUUUUCUACUUAUAAAAGAUAGGAGUAGAAGAAGUGAUUAUGGUUUCUGGGACGGAAAAAUAAAUUGUGACUGACACAUGUGGCUGUAAAUAAAUAAAAUAUUAUAAACAUUUCUGCAUUGAAGUUGCUGAGAACAUUUUGCCCCAUAUGUCCUUUUUCCCCCUCAGUUGAAAAAAAAUGAGCAAUUCCAAGUCUGCUGCAAAAUCGUCGGCUCAGUCUGAAGAAAUACAAGGUGCUGAUACCAUUGACCUACAGAAUGCUGAAGGGGAUGACAAGCAUUUAGAGCAAAAAGGCAUUGUAAAAGAGAAUGGGAAAUUGAAUGAAAAUGUCCAAAAGCAUUCGGAUAAAAAAGGUGUUGGACAAAACGGCGGUGUAACUAAAAAUGGGAGGGCAGAAAUCCAAUCGGUGGCAACCAAAAAGGAGGGAAAAGAAGAAACCCCCACCCAGAGAGGAAAUUGCAAAAGCUAGGGAAGAGAAGAGGAUGGCUCUUAGGGAAGCAAAGCGAAAAGCCAUGACGAAGAAAAAAGCUGGAAACCAAUGAGUUCUCUGUAACAUGGGAGUUUUGCGAUAUGAGGAGGAUAUUUUGUCAGAGGCGACAUGAGCAAACACAAAACUAAAGUUGUUCUCUGGCAAUGUUGUUAAGCUUAACUCUGGAAUUAUUAGCAGCUGCCAGCUGGUGGUAAUAUUUCUGUUGUUGGUUGAUGAGUUUGAGAUAAAGACGGUUGGAGACCAUGUAUGGUUUGCUUUAGAAAAAUGAAAAUUAGGAUUCGUGGUUGCACGAAUCCAUAUUCCUUUCCAGACCAAAGUCACUAAGGAGGGGCCGAGCCAGACUCAAUUCCUCUGAGCUUUGACUUCUCUUCUGAGAUGAUUGGAGGCUGACGAAAGGACAUUCUUGAAGAAUGCUUUCUUUUGAAAAUGUCUUGUAUAAGGACGACCCAAAGCCCCUUCUCGGCUAGGUUGGCACAUAAUAUAAAAAAAUAUCCAAUGAAGCUUUCUUUUAUCUUCAUCAUUGGUUCAAUAUUUAGCUAACAUUUUUUCCAACUGGUCCAAAAUUUUGUAUCUGUAGUUGAUGUUGUACUUUAUUCCUUUUGAGAGUGAGCAAUGAAAAUUAUAAAGA